ensembl:lncRNA
CAAGUUCAUUUAUUUGGAGGUCUGUGUUCUGGUUUAAUGUGGGUGAUAUGGUGAUGUUUCCACCAUCGUUGCUUAACUAUUUACAUAAUCAGAAUUACGUAAGUGACAUGGAAAAGCCACUGACUACCUCUGACAGCCAUGAAUAAAAGACAGGGACUAUAACAAAUGUAGUAAUCACAGCCAUGAAUAAAAGUUAGUCACCAAAACAGUAAUCAAUAAGCUGAAACAUGUGGAUCCCUCUUUGGCCCUCUGGCCCAGGGGCUAUUAUCUACAGAACUUUAGCACGUCAGAUGUGUCAACAACAAAGUGUUCCAGAACGGAACCCCCAGUCAGGGUGAAGGUGACAGCAUCUUGUUUUGUGUCUGUAGUUUGUUUCUCAGGAGGACCACCCUGGAUAAACUUCACAUACUGUAGAUAGUGAACCUGGGACUGCCCAGAGAUAAUGCAGAGAUAAUAAAGAAACAGUCAGACUGACACCUGAUCUUUAACUGGAGGGACACAUGUUGCAAGGACCAAACAGCUGUCUUGUUCUUAGAUGUCUGAGGCAUUGACCUGCUCACUGUCUUAGUCUACCUGGUUUCUCCACUGAGGCUUCUCAAGCCAGCAUGAGUGUCUGGAGUACUUUCUGAGGUCCUGGACUCCUCUACGUCUGGAGUAUGCCUGAGGUCCUGGACUCCUCUACGUCUGGAGUAUGCCUGAGGUCCUGGACUCCUCUACGUCUGGAGUAUGUGUGUCGUCGCCCCCCCUCCCCGAGUGUGCGGGAACUCCAUAGUGGGCUGUGUGGGGAAGCUCAGUGUGUCCCCCGGCCAGACACGAAGACUAGAAGCUUCUUGACGGUCAGAGACUCACAUCCCUGAAGAAGACACAAACAAAGACAAUAUGACCUAGGAUGAAUCUUGAGAGGCUGACGUACUUCUCCUAAACAUAAUGCAUUACUAUUCAUAUAUAAAAACAUUCUCUCCUUGAUCUCCUCUAUUAUGCCUGUUUCCAGGACCCAGAUUCAGCCGUGUCCUGGACUAAAAAUCAUCCAUGAUGAUUAAUCAGUUGCAUUGAAGAUUGAUGACAUUUUCCUUACACUCCACCCCAAUAAGCCAGUCCCUCCAGUAGCCAUACGUUAUGUUCUCAGCUAUUCUCUCAUCACUACCGGGGGCUGAGAAGUUCACGUGGAAGAGCGUGAGGUCUACUGCAGAGAGAGGUCUGGCUAGUAAUAUCUGCUUGAAUACAGCAGGAUGCCUCUAGCAAGCCCAAUGUAGCCAGUCCUCCUUUCAUUUGGUUUAAACAACAAAAAGGACAACACAGAGUGAGGGACACAAGAGACUGAGCUCAUAAAAGUAAUUACUGUAAAGGGUUUUAUCUCACAGCAGUGCCAAAAGUGACUAGGCCCAACUCAGCAGUUAUUGUACAAAACAUACUUAAUGGUCCACAUGACAACCAAACAUCCAAAUAGCCCCUCGCAGCAAACCGCACAAUGUCUUCCCUGUCCUCCCAUGUUUGGACAGGGCUGAGGACCCCCAGCGGACGCAGAAUUAAAGACUCCUCCUCCAUGACCUCACUAGCAGCCUCCAGGGUUGUGGCCGCCUUAAGCUGUGGGUUGAAUGACACGAUAUCACAAUGCAAAUCACAACCCCAGGCCUGUAUUCACAAAGCAUCUCAGAGUAGGAGUGCUGAUCUAGGAUCAGUUUCCCAUUUUAGAUCAUAAUGAAUAAGAAUAUACAGGUCACUGCCAAAAUAAAGGAAACACUUACUGCCUUUGUCAGUCGAUAGGAACAUUCGCCCGAGCUAUUUAGGAGGGAUAUCACACCUGGCACAAAUGGUUGUCUAGUUCUGUUUUUCCUGCUGAGGGGUGCUCUAUACCUGCGCCCAGAGGGGAGUAGUUCAACGUCCAGGUACAGGGGGUGGCUUGGGUCUAAAAUGAUUUUGUGAGCCUUGUGGAGGGCCCUGACCUUAAAGAUCUCAUCCAGACCUGUCUGUUUGACUCCAAGUACCUUGCUUGCUGUGGUAAUAAUCCUUCUCAGCAUAUUUCUCAGGCUGACAGUGGCAUUGCCAAACCAACAAACAUGAAAACAAUGUAAGCCAUAUGAUGUGUCCGUCUCAGUCACCAGAUCUCAACCCAAUUGAACACAUAUGGAAGAUUCUGGAGCAGAGCCUGAGACAGCAUUUUCCACCACAAUCAACAAAACACCAAAUGAUGGAAUUUCUCAUGGAAGAAUGGUGUUGUAUCCCUCCAACAGAGUUCCAGACACUUGUAGAAUCUAUGCCAAGGUACACUGAAGCUGUUCUGGCUCGUGGUGGCCUAACGCCCUAAUAAGACACUAAUUAUUGGCAUUUCCUUUAUUUUUGCAGUUACCUGUAUGUACAGGAAGGACCUGAUCCAAGAUCAGAACUCCUAGUCUGAGAAGCUAUGUGAAUACAAGCCCAGGGCUCAGGCUACAAACACAAACCAAUAUAUACGGCAAAGAACACAUGAACAUGUCACAUGCCUUCUCCAGCCUGGCUCGUAUUUCCUGGUGUGAUCUCGUCCAGGGCCACAGGAGCAGAGGGAAGACCACAGAUCAUGUCAAACGUUCUCCUGGACAGGAAGUGGGGCCAUAUCUCACCACUCAGACACUGGUCAUGCUCUCCACCAGCCUGUACAUUAUCCCAGGCUGAAACUAAAACAUGGUACAAGUUAAUACCACCUUAUUAAAAUAAGGGGGGUUUUUACUAUGGAAAGCACAUAAGAGGCCACCAAUCUAUGUAGUAAUAUACCAUAUAAGACCUUAUAGUUCACUCUGCUUGGAAUACACUGAAAGUGAUACAACAGGACAGUGUUCUAGGAUUAGAUAGAAAGUGUCAUAUUUGAACAUAUAAACAGUGCGAUCUUACAAUACUAGUGCAAUACUAGGCUUUUGCAGUGGUCUGGCCCCUGGAACAAACAACAGUCUUGGAUGGCUGCCAUCAACAGCCGAAUGAACUCCUGUGUUUAACCAUGUUGGUCGACUGACCCCUCACAUUGAACCUCUGAGGUUGAAUAGUUUCCAGCUGAAUGCCUUGGUGGCAGAGCGGAGUACGUCCUUUCGUAAAAUAAUCGGCGUGUUCUCUUCCAUGUUCUCCGGAUGGGACACCUGGGAGGCCACGGCAGACAGCAGUGUACCUGUAGGGGAACC